UACGAGAGGCCCAAACGUUAUUCGGAUUUACUGGGCUUAAAGAGUUCGUAGGCGGCGCAGAAAGUAGGGUGUGAAAGCCCUCGGCUCAACCGAGGAAUUGCGCCCUAAACUACUGUGCUCGAGGAACCUAGAGGUGAGCAGAACUGAUGGUGGAGCGGUGAAAUGCGUUGAUAUCAUCAGGAAUACCGGAGGCGAAGGCGGCUCACUGGGGGUUAUCGUGACGCUG
rnacentral:rRNA from 1 species